rnacentral:rRNA from 1 species
AGGGCACCACCAGGAGUGGAGCCUGCGGCUUAAUUUGACUCAACACGGGGAAACUCACCCGGCCCGGACACCGGAAGGAUUGACAGAUUGAUAGCUCUUUCUUGAUUCGGUGGAUGGUGGUGCAUGGCCGUUCUUAGUUGGUGGAGCGAUCUGUCUGGUUAAUUCCGAUAACGAACGAGACUCUAGCCUAUUAAAUAGACGUCGGGUUCUCUGCACUCGACGGUCUUCUUAGAGGGACAAGGUGCUUUUAGCACCGCGAAACAGAGCAAUAACAGGUCUGUGAUGCCCUUAGAUGUCCGGGGCCGCACGCGCGCUACACUGAAGGAAGCAGCGUGUAACAACCUUGUUCUAACGAACUGGGUAACCCGUGGAACUUCCUUCAUGAUUGGGAUAGGGGUUUGCAAUUGUGCCCCUUGAACGAGGAAUUCCCAGUAAACGCUAGUCAUCAGCUAGUGCUGAUUACGUCCCUGCCCUUUGUACACACCGCCCGUCGCUACUACCGAUUGAAUGGUUUAGUGA